GACGAACGCUGGCGGCGUGCUUAACACAUGCAAGUCGAACGAAGAGCGAUGGAAGCUUGCUUCUAUCAAUCUUAGUGGCGAACGGGUGAGUAACGCGUAAUCAACCUGCCCUUCAGAGGGGGACAACAGUUGGAAACGACUGCUAAUACCGCAUACGAUCUGACCUCGGCAUCGAGGAUAGAUGAAAGGUGGCCUCUACAUGUAAGCUAUCACUGAAGGAGGGGAUUGCGUCGGAUUAGCUAGUUGGAGGGGUAACGGCCCACCAAGGCGAUGAUCAGUAGCCGGUCUGAGAGGAUGAACGGCCACAUUGGGACUGAGACACGGCCCAGACUCCUACGGGAGGCAGCAGUGGGGAAUCUUCCGCAAUGGACGAAAGUCUGACGGAGCAACGCCGCGUGAGUGAUGACGGCCUUCGGGUUGUAAAGCUCUGUUAAUCGGGACGAAAGGCCUUUUUGCGAAUAGUGAGAAGGAUUGACGGUACCGGAAUAGAAAGCCACGGCUAACUACGUG
rnacentral:rRNA from 1 species